GGCGCUCGCUGCUCCCGGAGCUGGUCCGGAUGGUUCCAUGGCCCCGCGGCAUGGGGGGACCCCACAGCGAGGAGCAGGUGCUGGAGAAUGUGCUGGGAUACAUCCGGUACCUGCGGAGCAGCGUGAGCAGAGCGCGGGGGGGGGCAGCCCCCCCCAUUAGAGACCCUGUGGACGUGGGACCAAGUGCUGGGGCCACACCAAGG